UGACGCACGCCACGCCGCGAGUCUGCACGUGCCUGUCGUGACCAAUCACAUUCGCGAGGCACGAAUAUAUGCCUUCCGGGUUGUCGCCUCGAACAGAUGCGGGGGAGAGGCGUUAGCGGAUGGAAGCAACAGUACUUUGAUACCGCCGCGGGUAGAUGCGUGGGGGCUCGUAUGUGACAUCGCACGUAGUGAAUGUGCAGGCUAGUGGUGCCUUGGGGAGACCACAGCGACACCACUACUUUGGAUGGCGAGCUAGGCCCAACGAGCCAGAACCCCAGCUACAACUUCCUGCGGUCUGGUA